GGAAGUAAAGAGCUGAUCAUCCUUGGUUAAGGAGGCAGAGGGUGCUGGUGAGAAAAUCAGGACAACGGAGAUAGCCAUCUUUUAAAAUACUUUUGAUUGUGAGAAGUGAAAAAACAAACAAACAAAAGAAUAUCUUCAGGAACACCUUCUCCAGUGAUCAUUUACAACGUUCUCUUGCCUGGCACAGUAUGAAGCAUGACCUUCUGAAGUUUCAGAUUUGUGUUUCUUGGUUUGCUGAAAACUCUGCCUCGGGCCAGCCGCUUGACAGGCUCAGCACCCAUGGGCCACAGACGCAAUGGGAGACGGCUCUGGCAUCACCCGAGUCUGAGUUCAAGUCCUAGUUGUGCACUCACCACGUGUGGCUUUGUGAAGCUAGAGCCUCAACUUUUCAUAGGUAAACUGAGGCCACGGCUCACUGUGGAGAAGAUCAAACACAGAAUGUGUAGGAAGUGCCUUGCACAGUACCUGGCCUGUGGUAGGAGCCACAGCUUAGCUUUUUUUUUACCUUUCUCAUCCUAUCUCACCAGGAGGAUUGCUCUCAGGAUAUAAGAUGGCAACGCAUGGGAAAGUGUCCUGAAAAUGUGUUCUGCAGCUCUAGUCGUUUCUUUAGAUCUCAGCUUAGUAGCAAUUUCCUCUGGGAAGGGAACUUUUCCUUGACCCGCCACAUUGGAUAAGAAGCCCCUGCCUCUGGUCCCAUGGCACUUUGUGCCCUGCAUCUGCUCACUUGCCACACUGUAUUCAAAUUGCCAGGCAACCUCCCCCUUAUCCAGGAGGCCCAGAAGAGCCCGAGAGAGUGGGGACUAUGCGGGUUGUACUUAUUGUUGCUUCUCUACCAUCUUUCAUAUGUAGUUGCUGCCAAAUUCGGCACCGGUGCACUCUUCUUUUGCUAAAUGCACACAGUUACUGAUGGGAACACUGGCAGGAUUUUUCGAAUCUGCUUUCCGGUAUUGCUUGUGGCAUGCUUGAUGCUUUGGACCAUGGGUUUAUGGCAGCAUUCCCGAUUGGUCCUAGAAACAUCAGCUCCAAAGAUAAUUCUUUGGUCAAGUAAGUUGGGAAAGACUAUGCUCUAUAUGCCUCCCCAUCCCAGGAAAUUGACAAUGCAUGUUUCCAUGGUAAAGCCUUAUGAGACCUGCUAUAAAGAUACCUAGCUAACUUGAACACAGCAUUUUCCAAAUGAAUUCUCCCCAGGAAUACCUUUUAAUACACCAAAGACCACUCUUUGGAAAGCUCUGGCCUAUAGAGAACUUGAGCUCCAAGCAAAUUUUUCUGAUGGUUUCUGUCAAUUCUUUGUCCUGGUUCUCCUUCCCCCACUUAAACUAUGCAGCUGGAAUCAGGAGAGACAUAAUAUAUUGGGCUGGACCAAAAGGCAAUGCAGACAAUAGAACCUUUGAGAAAACUAGACCUAUGAAUGAGCUGACCAGUCCAGGAACUGACCAAAAGUAUUUUGACAAUGACCAGAAUGCCCUCAUCUGUGCCCCACGUCAGAGCUCUCACACUUCUGUGCACAUAUAUCACUACGACUGCUCUUCCUCCCUUUCUCUUCCAUCAUCAUCCCCACCACCAUGACCACCAUCACCGUGACUACCACCACCACUACACUUCAGUUUUAUGGUACAUGGUCUGUGCCAAGCUUUGCUCUAAGUACAGGUACUUCCCGUAUUAAUGUAUUUAAUCCUCACAACAAGCUCAUAAGAGAGGUGCUAGCAUCAUCUCUGUUUUCCAGAGGGAGAAACUCAAGUGCAGAGAGGUUAAGGAAGACUUGCAUUUUAUAGGAUGGGUAGACCAAUUUGCAAAUCUAUGCUAAGAAAUCUUAUUAAGAGACUGACACGCUGUGCAUUUCAGUGACUGUUCUGAAGUGAAGCAGUCCAUAAUCAGCCACGUCUGUCUGAUUCCAAGACAAGCUCUUCCUACGACAUCAGGCUGCCUCCUGGUGUUAACAAUACUUUAUCUUUGUGAGUUAUUUUAUGUUUCCUAAGCACUUCUAUAGCCUUCAUUGUUUUAAAAUCUCCUGACCAUGCUUCAGACAAAUGCGAUCACUUUAUAGAUUUUAAAAUUGAAUCACAGAGAGCUACUACUAGUAUAAUAAUAAUGAUGAUAUUAAUGAUAGCCACCUCUCACUUUUGACAAACUUAUUGUUCACGGCAAAAAUGGCUCACAAAGGGUAGACUUGGGGCUCAGAUGCAAGACUUCUGAUGCCAAGUCCAGAGUUUGCUCCACCCUUGAAAGGCGGGUCCCUCCAACAAGAUUAGCCCAGCUGUGGCAGGAGAGAGAAGUUUACAGCACCAGCUCGGUAUUCGGUUGGUGUGGUUUUUAAAGUAACUCAACAUCUGUCAUUAAUUAGAGUUCCUGUUGCCAUGGUGAUGGUUUAUUAUUGCUCGGCUGAUAAGAUGGCAAUUCAAGAAUACUAUCUUUCUCCUUUUCCCUCUCUCUACAGCAAAGAUUUUUCACUUUCUUUCCCCUCUCACCUAUGAGACAUCUGAGCUUUUGCCACAAAGAAUGAUGCGGUGUUCUCAAACAGGGACCCCUGUUGGUUCUCUGGAAAUAAUCUUCCGAAUUUUUUUUCCCUUUCGCUCAAUGCAAAGGUUCUAUCAACCCAACUUUGAUUCACAUUUCAUUUCUUGUACUUAUUAGCUCUCUGAACAAGUUAAUUAUCUUCCUCGAGCCUUACUUUUUCAUCUGGAAUAAGUGAUAAAGGAGGCCUAACUGGCAAGGUUAUUGUGAGAAUUUGAUAUAACGAAUAUGAAGAUAUCAACACAGGGCUUGGAAGGUAAUGGAUACUCAAGAAAUGAUAGCAGAUGUGAUAAUUAAAAUAACAGCGAUAAUUAUUUACAAAAAGAUGAGAUGAAACUGGGGUUUAGGGUUGGGGGCUGAGGUCACUGUGCCUUCACUCAUUCAUCAAUCACUCUAACUUGUUCAUCCACUGCAACUGUCCUUUUUCUUUACAGCUCUUAACCCA